rnacentral:rRNA from 1 species
UACGAAGGGUGCAAGCGUUGUCCGGAUUUACUGGGCGUAAAGAGCGCGCAGGCGGUCGUUCAAGUCGAGUGUGAAAGCCCCCGGCUCAACUGGGGAGGGUCAUUCGAUACUGAUCGACUCGAAGGCAGGAGAGGGUAGUGGAAUUCCCGGUGUAGUGGUGAAAUGCGUAGAUAUCGGGAGGAACACCCGUAGCGAAGGCGGCACUCUGGGCCGGAACUGACGCUGAGGAGCGAAAGCCAGGGGAGCAAACGGG